UUGCCGCGUGCGACUCGGCGAGAAGUCCACUGAACCUUAUCAUUUAGAGGAAGGAGAAGUCGUAACAAGGUUUCCGUAGGUGAACCUGCGGAAGGAUCAUUGACGAGAGGUUUGAAUGAUGGAACGAUCUGUCCAACCUGUGGGAGUGCGACGGUUGAUCGAUGUCGCUUUCUUUCGUAGCGCGUGCUCUUGCUAUCACGUGGAGCUCGACGUUAUGGGGAUAAACAAAAGCUUAUGGGCGUGGUCAGGCGCCAAGGCAGAGCAAAUGUUAAGCUGGCAAGCGAGCAUGUUGUGUCGUCAGGUCCAUUGAGUCCUGGCAAUCGAACGACUCUCGACAACGGAUAUCUUGGCUCUCGCAUCGAUGAAGAACGCAGCGAAAUGCGAUACGUGUUGUGAAUUGUAGAAUCCCGUGAACCAUCCAUUUUUUGAACGCAAGUUGCGCCCGAGGAUGCGAGCCGAGGGCACGCCUGCAUGGGUGUAAUGAGACCCGUCGCUCCUUGCGGAAGCCUGGAAUCUUUGGUUUGGUUCCUCGGCCCCGUUGUGGAGGCGAUUGAUGGCACCCCGUGCAGCGGCAUGGCGUGUUGAAGUGUGGGGCGACGGUCGACUGUCGACAUGGUAAGAGGUGGACGCCAUCGGUUGUUGUGGUGUUGGCCAGGAAGAAUCGAUGUUGAUUUGCGACAAGCGGAUGCCCCGCAUAGAUCCAGCUCCGUCCUCCAUGGUGUGGAAUCGUGACCCCAUGUUAGGUGAGGCUACCCGCUGAGUUUAAGCAUAUAAAUAAGCGGAGGAGA
rnacentral:rRNA from 1 species